UACCAGCGUUAAUGCACCGGAUCCCAUCAGAACUCCGCAGUUAAGCGCGCUUGGGCUAGAGUAGUACUGGGAUGGGUGACCUCUCGGGAAGUCCUAGUGUUGCACCCU
rnacentral:rRNA from 1 species